ACCGAGAAACCCAGGAAGGAACACACCAGCCUAGAUGAAUUGGCCCAGUUCAGUACAAUGACGCAUGAAAAUCUGCUUUUACAACUUUGAGAGGAGGCUGGCUACCGAUGAUGACUUGGGUUACAUAAGAAGUGAGCACGCUAUGACAGAGAAAUACACACUGACGACCUUGAUUCAGAUAAGGAAGAAAACAGUCACGAGGAUGAUUAUGGGGUUAAAUUCUCUCAUGGAAAGCUUCGCUCCCUGUGUCAACCCAAGUCCCACCGGAGGAUCGCGAAAGUGGAACAGAAAGAAGGAAAAUGAAUGAAAUCAUCUGUCUGAAUGUCAUCUAGAUCUGCAGAAAGACCCCCUGCCUGAGCAGCUUCAUAGAAAAUGGGGUACGCUAUGCUUGGCUAUGCAGAGAUGACUCAAGAUGAAGCGGUUCAAGCAGGACCCCUCCCCACUGGAUGGUCAGCUCAAUGAGCAAAAACUGUGGGUACUCAUAUAGGCUCUCCGAUGGGCAAAAGGAAAGAGGGUAAAUGUUUAUACAGAUUCCUG